CAGCAGCAGCCAAUUUCGCAGUGUUAUUGACCAAACUGAGGAGGUAAAGCACUGAGUUUUCACCUUGGUAGCCUAUUGAAGAAUCUAAUGUCUGAUUGGUGAGAUGAAGCUGCAGGUACAGAGCUGAAGGACCAGUUCGGUGAACUCUGGUGGUCGCUACAGGUGUACUCACAAUUGUGCAGGCCUGCUGUUUCACACAGGUACAUAAGGCAGCACUCACCUGAGAUGAGAGAGUCAGUUCUAGAGCAACAAAACUCUAUUCUAUUUGAUGUCUGAAGCCGGGGACCUUCAUGAACUGCUGCCUAUGGACAGAGAUGAAGCUCAGAUAUCUCUUAUGUCCUGGAAUACACGUGGUCUUAAAAGUAAAGUGGCUGACAUCAGAGAUGAAAUUAGAAAAAGGAAAGCGGACAUUGUCUUUCUUCAGGAGACUCACAUCGGACCAGAGGGCACUGGUGUAUUUGACACCUUUGGAGAAUGGUACACUUUCUACACAAUGUAUAAAGACAGUAAAGGAGUUGCCAUCUUCAUUAAAAAAAACAUUGAUUUUCAGCUUAUUUAUCCCUGUAAAGAUAACCAUGGCAGCUACAUCACAUUAAAAUGUAAAAUACUAGGCCAGCUUUACACCCUUGUGAAUGUGUACAACCAUCCAUCAGAGAGAGAUAUUUUGGACAAACUCAUACCAUACCUUCAGCAUUGUGCUGAAGGAGUAUUAAUCAUUGGAGGAGACUUCAACACUACUCUCAACCCAUACUUGGACAGGACAUCAACAACAUCAAAUCCACAACAUGUUGCUUUACGAAGAUGUGUUCAGAGAUUCACAGCAUCCCUCCACCUUGUGGAUGUCUGGAGAAGAAGCAACCGAACAAAGAGAGAUUACACUUUCAAUCAAAGUGAUAACAAGUCCAGGUUAGAUUACAUUUUCAUGCAGGAAGAGUCCAUGUGGCGAGUUAACACCUGUAAGAUCCUUGACACUCCUGUCGAGUACUCAGACCAUAAACCUGUCUGUCUCCAGUUUACCUCAACACCAUCCAGCCAUGAUCCCCCUCCAGACACCAAUGAGGAGAAAAAAAAUGAUAUUUUGAACAAAAAGGAUGAUUCAUCCUGUGGCAACAAAGGAGCCUUAAUCGUUGACAUCCCAUGGGCUGCACAGUCUCUACCGAACUCAAUACCUCCAGGACCUGAUGGCAUUCCAGUCCAUUUCUAUAAGAAUAACUGUUCCCACCUGCCUCAUUAUUUCAAUGUCCUGUACAAGCAAAUUCUUGCUAACAGAAUGCAUGAUGCACCCAAUCAUAAGUUCUUUAAUAGCUCAAAUCCAAGUCUGGAUAACAGAUCCUACCGCUUCUUCAAUGCUGACUAUUUAACCUUGGCUACAACACUGGCUUGGUACCUUGAGAAACAUUUAAAAGAUAUAACAGCACGAACAGAAAUGGUAAAGGACAAAAGCAGAAGUAUUAUGGUGAUCCAUCCAGGAAGAAGAAAGAAGGUAAGGUGGUCUUUGCUGAGGCAGGCAAUAAGAGCACUAAAAGAUCCCAUUCUUGAUUCCACCAUCUUUGAUAAGCUGCUGAGAAGAUCAGACCAGGACCAGGACCAGAACUGCAAACAGUUGUGCCGUGGCUGUCCACUCACCCCAGCCCUGCUCAAACUGUAUGUUACACAUCACGUUAACAAAAUACUACAAUCUAGAUUAUUGCCAUCAGGCAAGACAUUAGGAGCUCUCAUCUAUGGUGAAACUGUAAUGUUCAGCCUGUCAUUCGACCCCAAUGCCAGCCUGCCAAAUGAGGUCAAGGAUGAACUUAAAAAAUUGGAAUGUUAUUAAUUUAGAAUAUUGCACCAGUCCAGAAUGUUCAGACAGGAGUUAAUCAGCAAAAGAUCUGAAUAUUUGAAACUGUUAGUGUUAAAAUAUGUGGAU